rnacentral:rRNA from 1 species
GCUCAGAUUGAACGCUGGCGGCAGGCCUAACACAUGCAAGUCGAACGGUAGCACAGAGAGCUUGCUCUCGGGUGACGAGUGGCGGACGGGUGAGUAAUGUCUGGGAAACUGCCUGAUGGAGGGGGAUAACUACUGGAAACGGUAGCUAAUACCGCAUAAUGUCGCAAGACCAAAGAGGGGGACCUUCGGGCCUCUUGCCAUCAGAUGUGCCCAGAUGGGAUUAGCUAGUAGGUGGGGUAACGGCUCACCUAGGCGACGAUCCCUAGCUGGUCUGAGAGGAUGACCAGCCACACUGGAACUGAGACACGGUCCAGACUCCUACGGGAGGCAGCAGUGGGGAAUAUUGCACAAUGGGCGCAAGCCUGAUGCAGCCAUGCCGCGUGUAUGAAGAAGGCCUUCGGGUUGUAAAGUACUUUCAGCGGGGAGGAAGGUGUUGUGGUUAAUAACCACAGCAAUUGACGUUACCCACAGAAGAAGCACCGGCUAACUCCGUGCCAGCAGCCGCGGUAAUACGGAGGGUGCAAGCGUUAAUCGGAAUUACUGGGCGUAAAGCGCACGCAGGCGGUCUGUUAAGUCGGAUGUGAAAUCCCCGGGCUCAACCUGGGAACUGCAUUCGAAACUGGCAGGCUGGAGUCUUGUAGAGGGGGGUAGAAUUUCAGGUGUAGCGGUGAAAUGCGUAGAGAUCGGAAGGAAUACCAGUGGCGAAGGCGGCCCCCUGGACAAAGACUGACGCUCAGGUGCGAAAGCGUGGGGAGCAAACAGGAUUAGAUACCCUGGUAGUCCACGCCGUAAACGAUGUCAACUUGGAGGCUGUGCCCUUGAAGCGUGGCUUCCGGAGCUAACGCGUUAAAUCGACCGCCUGGGGAGUACGGCCGCAAGGUUAAAACUCAAAUGAAUUGACGGGGGCCCGCACAAGCGGUGGAGCAUGUGGUUUAAUUCGAUGCAACGCGAAGAACCUUACCUGGUCUUGACAUCCACAGAACUUUCCAGAGAUGGAUUGGUGCCUUCGGGAACUGUGAGACAGGUGCUGCAUGGCUGUCGUCAGCUCGUGUUGUGAAAUGUUGGGUUAAGUCCCGCAACGAGCGCAACCCUUAUCCUUUGUUGCCAGCGGUCCGGCCGGGAACUCAAAGGAGACUGCCGGUGAUAAACUGGAGGAAGGUGGGGAUGACGUCAAGUCAUCAUGGCCCUUACGACCAGGGCUACACACGUGCUACAAUGGCGCAUACAAAGAGAAGCGACCUCGCGAGAGCAAGCGGACCUCAUAAAGUGCGUCGUAGUCCGGAUUGGAGUCUGCAACUCGACUCCAUGAAGUCGGAAUCGCUAGUAAUCGUAGAUCAGAAUGCUACGGUGAAUACGUUCCCGGGCCUUGUACACACCGCCCGUCACACCAUGGGAGUGGGUUGCAAAAGAAGUAGGUAGCUUAACCUUCGGGAGGGCGCUUACCACUUUGUGAUUCAUGACUGGGGUGA